rnacentral:rRNA from 1 species
AGAGUUUGAUCAUGGCUCAGGAUGAACGCUAGCGGCAGGCUUAACACAUGCAAGUCGAGCGAGAAAGAGUCCUUCGGGGCUCGAGUACAGCGGCGCACGGGUGCGUAACACGUAGGUAAUCUACCCUUGGGACGGGGGAUAACGUUUCGAAAGGAACGCUAAUACCGCGUAAGACCACGCCCACCCAGGUGGAAGUGGUAAGAGGUGGCCUCUCCAUGGAAGCCAUCGACCGAGGAUGAGCCUGCGGCCCAUCAGCUUGUUGGUAGGGUAACGGCCUACCAAGGCAAAGACGGGUAGCUGGUCUGAGAGGAUGAUCAGCCACACUGGCACUGAAACACGGGCCAGACUCCUACGGGAGGCAGCAGUGGGGAAUAUUGGACAAUGGGCGCAAGCCUGAUCCAGCGACGCCGCGUGAGUGAUGAAGGCCUUCGGGUUGUAAAGCUCUGUGGGGAGGGACGAAAAAGGUGGGGUCGAAUAGGCCCUGCCCUUGACGGUACCUCCUUAGCAAGCACCGGCUAACUCUGUGCCAGCAACCGCGGUAAGACAGAGGGUGCAAACGUUGCUCGGAAUUACUGGGCGUAAAGCGCGUGUAGGCGGGUUCGCAAGUCGGGUGUGAAAUCCCUGGGCUCAACCUGGGAACUGCAUCCGAAACUGCGUGUCUAGAGUGCCGGAGAGGGAAGCGGAAUUCCUGGUGUAGAGGUGAAAUUCGUAGAUAUCAGGAGGAACACCGGUGGCGAAGGC